GUCUACGGCCAUAUCACCCUGAACAUGCCCGAUCUUGUCUGAUCUUGGAAGCUAAGCAGGGUUGGGCCUGGUUAGUACUUGGAUGGGAGAUCCAAUGGCCAGUAAGCACCAGUGCAGAAAUCC
ensembl:rRNA 5S_rRNA 5S ribosomal RNA